rnacentral:lncRNA from 1 species
CUCCUCCCCCGGCACCAAUUCAAACCAGGGAUCCCCAAUGCGGAGGGGGGCACCUGCCCUGAUCCUUGUGUGGUUCCUCCCUGCUCCUGCUAAUCCAGACUAACAACUGCUGUUGCUAACAGCAUGAGAGUGAAUCCAGACUGUGUUGUGGUGUGAGGGCAGGAGGCCUGUGCCCGCAGGGCUGCAGCAGCCACACAAGCCAUGAGCAGACUGAGCCCCUGGGCGGUGUGGGGCUCUGGGUGUGGGAUGGGCAGACAGCUGUCUGUCUGCUGCUGACUCCGUUAGGUAAAGGUAAAGGAAUUCAAAUGUUCGUAGCUUCAAUAAAUCCUUUAGAGAUUCCCCAAUAUUCAGAUUUUAACAGUUAAUGCUUCAGUGUAAAGAUUUUACUCUUCAGUCUGCUGAAGGAACAUCCAUAUCAAAGAAGCCUUCUCACAUGAAAUAGACCUAAUUUUAUCCUAGCCUUAAACAAAACUAAAUAAAUAUUGAGUUUCAGGGUCUGCAAUGAACGGUUGAGGACCCCACAACGGAUCCUGCAGUGGCUGGUGCCAGGACCUCGGUGGACACUGGGUUAAGGCAAGCAAGAACCUGCGCUCCUUUGGAAGGCCAGCAUGCAAACAGCAAGACACAAAGCUGGGUUUGCAGAAGUCAGUGAAUAAAGGAAGACAAAUAAGUAAAUAAAUAAAUAAGUUGCGGUGAUUGUAAAUAGGAUGCCCACAGUGAUAGGAACCCUAGGCUGGAGUCGUCGUGCUGGAGAAAAUAAUUGUAUUUUGGUGUUCAAGGACUCUUGCUUCCGGUCAGUGGUUACCUGGCGUGACUUAGGUAGGAGUCUAACUUUUGCAAUUGUCAUUUCUUCAGACAUUUGACUGGAGAAACAGCAGCAAAGCUACUUGUCCCAGAGAGCAGCGCCUGGUAAGUACAGUCUCAGCAUUGGUGGGGUAUAAUAAUUAGGGAAAUCAAAUUAAGAAGACUUUUUGACCGCAAGGGAACACAGUGGAGAUGGAAAAUAAUGUAUGGAAGAUGAGGCAGGACAUACUGCAAAAUUGUUACUUCUGUCUUCAAACUGUGAAGUUGCACUUUGCG